UAUGAAUGAAUUAUGCUAUUGAGCCAUGCACUGGUCAUGUUGCUUGGUACAAAUUGGGCUCCUACUAUGUUAAGCACAUCAACCAGAUGUUGGACUAUACGUCAGCUGAGAAUCACUGCAAAUCUGUGAAGUCUGGUGCUCAUCUGGUAUCAAUCCACAAUGCUGAGGACAACAAUGCCGUGGAUGAAUUCAGUCAGUGGAGCAGCCGACAUAACCCUCGCAUCUGGCUCGGUGGUCAUGCAGUAAAUGACCCUUCACAGUCUAUCAACUUCCUCUGGGCCGAUGGGUCCGAUAUGAAUUUCUAUGCCUGGAUUCAGGAACCCAAGCAACCAUCCGGUGACGGACGUUGCAUGGAGAUGAACUGGCUUGGUAAGCAAGGGAUAACUGGCUGUGGUUGGAAUUGUGGUUGGAAUUGUGCUGGUGAAACCCUUACAUUUCUACUGCUUGAGUACUGGCACUUCUAGAAUAUUCUGGGACCUUUUAUUUUAUUCCAAAAGGUGCUGUGGGGUUGGGAGGCAGAAAAUGUUUCAUUUUAUUUUUGUUUCUGACAUAUGAUGACAUACAUUACAGUCAGUUUCAAUCCACCCAAUGUACGAAUUUCUGAUAAUGGUUGUAUUUGAAUAUUCUAAACACAUUGCAUUUGAGAAUGCUAUAUUUUGUCAGAAAACAACAUAACCCUAUCCAUUUUCUGGAUGAAUGGUGUUGAUAUUGUUUCAGUUGUUUGAAAGAUGAGACAUUACGCAUUGCUUGGUUUGCAAAUAAUAAAUGAAUUUUGUCAUCCA